rnacentral:rRNA from 1 species
AGCGAACGUUUGCGGCGGGCCUAACACAUGCAAGUCGAACGCACUAGCAAUAGUGAGUGGCGCACGGGUGCGUAACACGUGGGUAAUCAACCCUUCAGCCUGGGAUAACGACUCGAAAGGGUCGCUAAUACCGGAUACGGCGCGAGAGGCUUCGGCUUCUCACGAGAAAGCCACGCAAGGGGCACUGAAGGACGAGCCUGCGGCCCAUCAGCUAGUUGGUGAGGUAAGAGCUCACCAAGGCUAAGACGGGUAGCUGGUCUGAGAGGAUGAUCAGCCACACUGGAACUGAGACACGGUCCAGACUCCUACGGGAGGCAGCAGUGGGGAAUAUUGCGCAAUGGGCGAAAGCCUGACGCAGCCACGCCGCGUGAGCGAUGAAGGCCUU